UACGUAGGGUGCAAGCGUUGUCCGGAAUUAUUGGGCGUAAAGAGCUCGUAGGCGGCUUGUCGCGUCGACUGUGAAAACCCGCGGCUCAACUGCGGGCUUGCAGUCGAUACGGGCAGGCUAGAGUUCGGUAGGGGAGACUGGAAUUCAUGGUGUAGCAGUGAAAUGCGUAGAGAUCAUGAGGAAGACCAGUGGCGAAGGCGAGUCCCUGGACACUUCCUGACACUGAGGCACGAAAGCUAGGGGAGCAAACAGG
rnacentral:rRNA from 1 species